GCUCAGGAUGCAACACACAGUUUCCUGGAUCCCUUUCACUUUCUUCCUCUUAGGAGUAUUCGCACAUUCCUCAGGAUAAAAACUUUGGUAGGAGUGAUUGGAGAAUGCUAUGAUGCUUUGAAAAGGACAUGUGGACAGAAUCUGGAACACUUUGGUUGUGUUUCUCAUGACAUCAAGAAGGCCAUGUAAUGGUCUAAUUUCAGCCAAGCAGCACCUAGCAGCUCCACCAUAGAUCAAGAUACUCUGCUGUUCCCUAUAUUUCAUGGUGUCAGGACAAUGACAGCCACAGUCCGCAAAGCUGUCACUGGAGCUGCUGCCAUCAGCCUGCAUUCUGCAAGGUUGUGCUCUGCCUUAAAUUAACAUUACGUUCUGGUGGUGCCCAGCACUCAGAAUUUUCCUAUUAUGUGAUCUCUGCAUGGUUUUUUUUACCUCAUCCAUCAUGCUGUCACUGCAUCACUUUCAC